UAUGGGAAAUGACGAUUAUUUCAUCUCAUAAGUCCUUGAUGGAUUAUUUUUACAAUGAUGAAAAAUUGCACGUCAGUCUGAUCCCAGA
rfam:Brachypodium distachyon strain Bd21 chromosome 2, whole genome shotgun sequence.